rnacentral:rRNA from 1 species
CAAGGCCUGUCGGGAGAACCGACGUUAGGGAAUUCGGCAAGUUAGUCCCGUACCUUCGGAAGAAGGGAUGCCUGCUCUCGACGGAGCAGGUCGCAGUGACUCGGGCGCUCCGACUGUCUAGUAACAACACAGGUGACCGCAAAUCCGCAAGGACUCGUACGGUCACUGAAUCCUGCCCAGUGCGGGUAUCUGAACACCUCGUACAAGAGGACGAAGGACCCGUCAACGGCGGGGGUAACUAUGACCCUCUUAAGGUAGCGUAGUACCUUGCCGCUUCAGUAGCGGCUUGCAUGAAUGGAUAAACGAGAGCGCCACUGUCCCAACGUUGGACCCGGUGAACUGUACGUUCCAGUGCGGAGUCUGGAGACCCCCAAGGGGAAGCGAAGACCCUAUAGAGCUUUACUGCAGGCUGUCGCUGAGACGUGGUCGCCGAUGUGCAGCAUAGGUAGGAGNGAGACCCCCAAGGGGAAGCGAAGACCCUAUAGAGCUUUACUGCAGGCUGUCGCUGAGACGUGGUCGCCGAUGUGCAGCAUAGGUAGGAGUCGUUACAGAGGUACGCGCGCCAGCGCGCCACCCAGACAGCAUUGAAAUACUACCCGUCGGUGACUGCGACUCUCACUCCGGGAGGAGUACACCGGUAGCCGGGCAGUUUGACUGGGGCGGUACGCGCUCGAAAANGCUCGAAAAGAUAUCGAGCGCGCCCGAAGAUCAUCUCAGCCGGGUCGGGAAUCCGGCGAAGAGCGCAAGAGCACAAGAUGGUCUGACAGUGUUCUUCCCAACGAGGAACGCUGACGCGAAAGCGUGGUCUAGCGAACCUACGAGGUUCCGGAAUGGGACCCGUAGAUGACAGAAAAGCUACCUUAGGGAUAACAGAGUCGUCACUCGCAAGAGCACAUAUCGACCGAGUGGCUUGCUACCUCGAUGUCGGUUCCCUCCAUCCUGCCCGUGCAGAAGCGGGCAAGGGUGAGGUUGUUCGCCUAUUAAAGGAGGUCGUGAGCUGGGUUNCCUCCAUCCUGCCCGUGCAGAAGCGGGCAAGGGUGAGGUUGUUCGCCUAUUAAAGGAGGUCGUGAGCUGGGUUUAGACCGUCGUGAGACAGGUCGGCUGCUAUCUAUUGGGGGUGUGAGGUACCUGACGUGAACGAACGUAUAGUACGAGAGGAACUACGUUUGGUCGCCACUGGUGUAUCGGUUGUCCGAGAGGGCAGAUGCCGAGUAGCCACGCGACACGGGGUAAGAGCUGAACGCAUCUAAGCUCGAAACCCACAUGGAAAAGAGGUACCACAGAGGUCACUCGUAGAAGACGAGUUCGAUAGACUCGGGGUGUACGCACCGAGGCAACGAGGUGUUAAGCCCACGAGCACUAACAGACC